rnacentral:rRNA from 1 species
GAUGAACGCUAGCGGCAGGCCUAACACAUGCAAGUCGAGGGGCAGCACAGAAACAGCAAUGUUUUGGUGGCGACCGGCGGACGGGUGCGUAACGCGUAUGCAACCUACCUUUAACAGGGGGAUAACGGGGAGAAAUUUCCACUAAUACCCCAUAACAUCGACCAAGGCAUCUUGAUUGGUUGAAAACUCCGGUGGUUAAAGAUGGGCAUGCGUUGUAUUAGGUAGUUGGUGAGGUAAUGGCUCACCAAGCCUACGAUACAUAGGGGGACUGAGAGGUUAGCCCCCCACACUGGUACUGAGACACGGACCAGAAUCCUACGGGAGGCAGCAGUGAGGAAUAUUGGUCAAUGGGAGCAACCCUGAACCAGCCAUGCCGCGUGCAGGAAGACGGCUCUAUGAGUUGUAAACUGCUUUUAAACAGGGAUAAAGCACAGUAUGUAUACUGUGUUGAAGGUACUGUAAGAAUAAGGAUCGGCUAACUCCGUGCCAGCCGCCGCAGUAA